UCCUCUGCAGCAAUGCGAUUUGACUCGUGUCUUUGUUGACCGAGUUUAAACAGAGCUAGAGGAUGGUCAGUUUGGCCUAGUCCGAGUGCUAAGCAUUCUUGGGUCUAGGUUGGAUUGCUCAUUAAAUCUAUCUUUUA
rnacentral:misc_RNA from 1 species